GCCUUUGUGGUGUAGUGGUCAGCACGCUCGACGCGUAACCGAGAGGUCCGUGGUUCGAUUCUCGGAGAGGGCA
rnacentral:tRNA from 1 species